rnacentral:snoRNA from 1 species
AAAACAUUUAAAUCUGAAUGUGUUUCCACAGAAAUUUAGAAAAAGCUGGCAAUAAUGCUGGCAUGUUAUGAGCCUGAAGGACACCCAAGGUCAUUAGGGUCCCUAAAAAUGGCUAUAAAA